rnacentral:rRNA from 1 species
UACGUAGGGACCGAGCGUUGUCCGGAAUCAUUGGGCGUAAAGAGCGUGUAGGCGGCCACUUAAGUCCUGCGUGAAAUCUUGCGGCUCAACCGCAAGCGGUCGUGGGAAACUGGGUGGCUAGAGUGCGGGAGAGGAGAGUGGAACUGCGAGUGUAGAGGUGAAAUUCGUAGAUAUUCGCAAGAACACCAGUGGCGAAGGCGGCUCACUGGCCCGGUACUGACGCUGAGGUGCGAAAGCGUGGGGAGCAAACAGG